GAUGAAGAACGUAGCGAAAUGCGAUACUUGGUGUGAAUUGCAGAAUCCCGUGAACCAUCGAGUCUUUGAACGCAAGUUGCGCCCGAAGCCACUAGGCCGAGGGCACGCCUGCCUGGGCGUCACACGCCGUUGCCCCCCCAUCUACUCCUUCGGGAUUGGGGGGGGGCGGAUGAUGGCCUCCCGUGCGCCUAGCCGCGCGGUUGGCAUAAAUACCAAGUCCUCGGCGACGCACGCCACGACAAUCGGUGGUUGCGAAACCUCGGUUGCCCGUCGUGUGCGUUCGUCGCGCAUCGAGGGCUCGAAAAAAUGCUCGGCUCCGGCUGGGCUUUCAACGCGACCCCAGGUCAGGCGGGGUUACCCGCUGAAUUUAAGCAUAUCAAUAAGCGGAGGA
rnacentral:misc_RNA from 1 species